rnacentral:snRNA from 1 species
GGAACCUGUGAGGGCGAUCUGGCUGCGACAUCUGUCACCCCAUUGAUCGCCAGGGGUGAUUCGGCUGAUCUGGCUGGCUAGGCGAGUGUGCCCCUCCUCCCUCACCGAUCCAUGUGCGUCCCUCCCGAAGCUGCGCGCUCGGCCGAAGAGGACGACCUUCCGCCCAGAGGAGAGGACCGGUCUAAGAGGACGCCCUUCCCCCCCUCCCCCCCACCCGAGGAGAGGACCGGUCUUCGGUCAAGGGUAUACGAGUAGCUGCGCUCCCCUGCUAGAACCUCCAAACAAGCUCUCAAGAUGAAUUGGAAUGGGAUAAAUUUGGGAGGCUGUACAAUAACCCAGGUGAGAACUGAAGCCU